rnacentral:lncRNA from 1 species
UGACUUGAAAUCUGGUAAUGAAUUAUAUAUUUAAUCACAAAUUUGAUUACAUGAGUGGAUAGCUAAGACGUUAAGGAACUCGUACGACUUUACAAAAUCAAAUUCGAGUGAGUAGAACUCUUGAAACUAAUCUUGGCGUGAAAGGGUAGUUUUUGAACGUCAUGGGUUGAAGGUGUGUUGUGAAAUAAGGGUUUGGAACUCCAAUUCUGAGGUUCUAUCUCCGUGUAAGCCGUUGUAGCGGGGUGGGGUCUGCCGUAGCGGCUCAGUCGUGAAUUAAGUCGAGGAAAAACCCUAAAAAUGUUAUUAUUCUACAAUUUUCAUUCUUGAGAGCUAAUAGACAAACUAGGGCAAGUUCUUGAUAGUUUUCCACCUCUUCUAGAGCUAAAGGUAAGGAUUGUAUUCCCCUAAUCCAUUUUUUGAUCCGUGGAACUUAGAUUCAUGGGUGAUUAUCAUUGGGGGAGGGUUUUGACCUGAAACUACUAGUGGAGAAAGCCUUAAGUUGUGUAUUGAGAUCUUGGGUUUGGCCUAGGGUUGAUGAUUUUCAUUGUAAUCCGGGUAAUUAGGCAUCGUUUAUUGAUCCUUGCAUUAAUUUGUUCUUUUUAGAGCACGAACAAGCAGAAAGAAUCCGAAGAGGGAAGAUUGAAGUGCCUUAGGGGGAUUAAAGCUUGAUUUCGAGGUAGGUGAUAGUUUGAUUUCAUGUUUGUGUGAUGUAUGUUAGUAAUUGCUUCAUUGUAAUGCAUGUAUGUAUGUGAAUAAGGUAUUGUUGAUCAAAC